AAAGGAAUAGACGGGGGCCCGCACAAGCGGUGGAGCAUGUGGUUUAAUUCGACGCAACGCGCAGAACCUUACCAGGCCUUGACAUCCCACGCGACCUCGAGAGAUCGGGGGUUCCCUUCGGGGACGUGGAGACAGGUGCUGCAUGGCUGUCGUCAGCUCGUGUCGUGAGAUGUUGGGUUAAGUCCCGCAACGAGCGCAACCCUCGCCUUUAGUUGCCAUCAUUCAGUUGGGCACUCUAGAGGGACUGCCGGUGACAAGCCGGAGGAAGGUGGGGAUGACGUCAAGUCCUCAUGGCCCUUACGGCCUGGGCUACACACGUGCUACAAUGGCGGUGACAGAGGGCAGCGAUCCAGCGAUGGGGAGCCAAUCUCUAAAAGCCGUCUCAGUUCAGAUUGCACUCUGCAACUCGGGUGCAUGAAGGUGGAAUCGCUAGUAAUCGCAGAACAGCAGGCUGCGGUGAAUACGUUCCCGGGCCUUGUACACACCGCCCGU
rnacentral:rRNA from 1 species